GAACGGGUCUGCUAGGUUGUUCUUUGUGUCUACUCGUUCAAUCACUAUGUCUUGUCUCUCGACGAUCUCUCGAACGAGGUGGAAGCGUCUUAGAAUGUACUUGGAUUUGUGAUGAGACCUUGGUUCCUGAUGCGUCACAGAAAUGCUCUCCCAAGUGCAGGAGAAUCGCACAAGUAGUAAAAUCUCGGGAGUCCGAGGUCGAAUCCUCAGGGAACGAAAUAUAUAUUAGAUUAUUUAAUAUAAUUUUAGGUUAAUUAAUUCAAUAAAUUUGUGGAUAAAGAUGAUGUUUUGCAAAUAGAAAAUAAAUCAGUAAACAGAGAAUUGAAAUUUGGAUAGAUUAAGAUAGUGUAGGGAUCUGGGAUCCCCUUUGAUGAUAUUAUUUUCAACAAUUAAAUUCUGCGAUUCUUGAUUAAGGAUCAAUCAGAUAGAAUAGUUCUAAUCAUGGAGUAUACAAUUUGAAAACAUGAAUUCAAGAUCUAAGCAUUUAUCGUGCCGAUUACGUCUACGACAAAUCAAACAUCGAAACAAUCCAUGAAUCAAGAAAUAUAAA
rnacentral:lncRNA from 1 species